GCGCGAAAACUUUACAAUGCUGGCAACAGCGAUAAGGGAACCUCGAGUGCCAGGUUACAAAUCUGGCUGUCGUGAUGCCUAAAAAAGCAUUAUAUAGCAAGGGCCGGGCAAGACCGGUGCCAGCCGCCGCGGUAACACCGGCGGCUCGAGUGGUAACCGUUAUUAUUGGGUCUAAAGGGUCUGUAGCCGGCCGGAUAAGUCUCUUGAGAAAUCUGGCAGCUUAACUGUCAGGCUUUCAGGAGAUACUGUCUGGCUUGAGGCCGGGAGAGGUGCAUGGAACUCACGGUGUAGGGGUGAAAUCCGUUGAUAUCGUGGGGAACACCAAAGGCGAAGGCAGUGCACUGGUCUGUUUCUGACGCUCACACACGAAAGCUAGGGG
rnacentral:rRNA from 1 species